AUCCCAUGAUGAGGGCACUUCUGCAAUAGCUCCUUGAAUCUUUCCCAUGCUUCAUACAAUGACUCUCCGUCUGCUUGUUGGAAGGAGGUAAUGCCAUUCCUUAGCUU
rnacentral:snoRNA from 1 species